rnacentral:rRNA from 1 species
CCCUUAGAUGAUUUGGGCUGCACGCGCGCUACACUGACCCUAACAAUGAGCAACUGUCUGGCCUGAGAUGGCUGGGUAGCCUUUUCAACCCAUGUCAUGAUUGGGCUAGAUUUUUGUAAGUCUCGAUCUCUAACGAGGAAUCCCUAGUAUGUGUGAAUCAUCAAUCCAUGCAGAUUAUGUCCCUGCCCUUUGUACACACCGCCCGUCGCUCCUACUGAUUGGGUGAUCCGGUGAGCUGUUCGGCCAUAGCAAUGUUUCUUGAGCAGGGCAAUGAAUGUUUCGCAAACCUUGCCACUUAGAGGAAGGAGAAGUCGUAACA